UACGAAGGGGGCUAGCGUUGUUCGAAAUUACUGGGCGUAAAGCGCACGUAGGCGGUUCCUUAAGUCAGGGGUGAAAUCCUGGAGCUCAACUCCAGAACUGCCUUUGAUACUGAAGAUCUUGAGUUCGGGAGAGGUGAGUGGAACUGCGAGUGUAGAGGUGAAAUUCGUAGAUAUUCGCAAGAACACCAGUGGCGAAGGCGGCUCACUGGCCCGAUACUGACGCUGAUGCACGAAAGCGUGGGGAGCAAACAGG
rnacentral:rRNA from 1 species